rnacentral:misc_RNA from 1 species
CCUGCUGCUGCCACAACACUCGUGCUUAAGUCGGGACGUGAUUUUUUAUUCACACCUCGCCUUACUCGGAUUCUGCGUAUCAAAUUCAAGAAGCGAAAGUCGUUAAAAUGGCAUUCCGUUUUUACUUCACAGUUGAUUAGUCACAUACAAUAGACUGCUUCACGUGUAAAUUAUUUAGAAUCAGUUACAGCAAUGACAUCACGCGUUGUAAGUUGGAGCUUAGUAGUAAUGCAUCGUUAAACUGAGUUUCAUCUUAUUCAGUCAGAGCAAACUUGGUGAAGUUUGCCAAACAUGAUGAAUUUAUGUGAAUGGAAGAUUCAGGUACUUUGAAACGAAAAACAGAGAGUAAUUCCCCCUUGAGAAUGAAGACUCAUUUUUCGAUAGUUGAUGUUGGAGCAAUGUGACGAGAAACUAUCAAAUUUCGAAGCUGUAAUGUGUUUAAGGAUUGUUAUCAACACAGAAAUCAUUGGAAGGAACCAUUUUUGAAGAUUCCUUACAAAGCAGUCAUUGCACAGGAUUAGGCGUACACACCUGUUUCGGUUUCAAAGGAUAUAACUACUCUUAUUUCACCACAGCCCACUAUAGCCUAUUAACUAAAGUAAGCCAUGGCAAAUCACAAUUAUGUAUAAAUUUUACAAAUAACAACAUAUUUUUAUAAGUUUUUUUAGCGCCUAUUAAAUUCUAGACUCUGAUUGGUACAUCAAUAUUUUCUUGUACAAAUGUACUUCUGUAUUACUACGCACA